rnacentral:misc_RNA from 1 species
GAAUUCCAAAGACAACUUUAGGCACAGAAAACUUCCGGUCAGCCCAUACAGCUUAAUGUCAAAACUGAAGAUAUCUAAAAUUUCCAAUUAUGCAUCUUAAUAUUUCUAAUUAACUUCAGUUAACAAGUAAAAAGAAUAAUUGUAUUUUCAAAUGAUACAUAACGGUUCAUUUGGUUUUCAAAAAUUCCACAUGAUACUAAAUAAAGUGCUCUAAAUACCAAUG